rnacentral:rRNA from 1 species
ACACUGGUUGAUGGUGCCAGAGGCCACUGCUAUCAGCGUCCGACUAAGCCAUGCGAGUUGUGGGCACCUCCUCGCCGCGAGGUGAGGGGGAGACCCGGCGGACGGCUCAGUAACACGUGGCCAACCUACCCUCGGGACCGGGAUAACCCCGGGAAACUGGGGCUAAUACCGGAUAAGUCGCCGAUUUCUGGAAUGAGCGGCGGCUGAAACGCCGAAAGGCGCCCGAGGAUGGGGCUGCGGCCGAUUAGGUAGUUGUCGGUUUAACGGACCGACAAGCCCACGAUCGGUACGGGCCGUGAGAGCGGGAGCCCGGAGAUGGGCUCUGAGACAAGAGCCCAGGCCCUACGGGGCGCAGC